rnacentral:ncRNA from 1 species
CAAACCCAGGUCAGGAGAGAACACCCGCUGAGUUUAAGCAUAUAAUUAAGUGGAGGAAAAGAAACUUACAAGGAUUCCCCUAGUAACGGCGACCGAACCAGAAAGAGCCCAACAUGAAAAUCGAGUGGCAGUGUCACCUGAAUUGUAGUCUGUAGAAGCGUCCUUAACAGUGGACCGAGCCCAAGUCCCUUGGAAGGGGGCGCCUGAGAGGGUGAUAGCCCCGUCGGGCUGGGACCCUACCUCACCACGAGGCAUUGUCAGUGAGUCGGGUUGUUUGGGAGUGCAGCCCUAAUCGGGUGGUAAAUUCCAUCCAAGGCUAAAUAUGGGUGAGAGACCAAUAGAAAACAAGUACCACGAGGGAAAGAUGAAAAGGAAUUUGAAAAGAGAGUUAAAGAGUGCUUGAAAUUGUUGGGAGGGAAGUGGAUGGAGGCCGACGAUGCGUCUCAAUCGGAUGCGGAAUGGCUGAAGCUGGUCCGCUGCUCGACUCGAGGUGUGAACCAAUGUAGGCUAUUGCAUUGGCACAAGUGCAGGUGGAGUACUACCUAUUGGUUUGUCAUUGUGGUGGUCGAGGAACGAAGCAUGCUCCCUUGGGGUGGGCCACUGUGCACCUGCAUGCUCGUGGUGUUGGUUGGUGGGCUUUCCAUUCGACCCGUCUUGAAACAUGGACCUAGGAGUCUAACAUGUGUGCGAUUUGGUGGGUUUGUAAACCUGUGAGGUGUAAGGAAGCUAACAGGCGAGAACCCCUCUCCAUGGGGUGCAUUGCUGACCGACCUUGAGCUUGUGCGAAGGGUUCGAGUGCGAGCACACCUGUUGGGACCUGAAAUAUGGUGAACUAUGCCUGAGCAAGAUGAAGCCAGAGGAAGCUCUGGUGGAGGCCCAUAGUGAUACUGACAUGCAAACCAUUCAUCUAACUUGGGUAUAGGGGCAAAAGACUAAUCGAACCAUCUAGUAGCUGGUUUCCUCCAAAGUUUCCCUCAGGAUAGCUGGAGCUCACGUGCAAGUUUUAUCGAGUAAAGAAAAUGAUUAGAGGCAUCGGGGGCGUAACACCCUCGACCUAUUAUCAAAAUUUAAAUAGGUAAGACGGUGCAACUGCUCCAUUGAGUCAUGCCACAGAAUCGAGAGCUCCAAGUGGGCCAUUUUUGGUAAGAAGAACUAGCGAUGCGGGAUGAACCGAAAGUCAAGUUAUGGUGCCAAACUGUGCGCUAACCCAGAUCCCACAAAGGGUGUUGGUUGAUUAAGAUAGCAGGACGAUGGUCAUGGAAGUCAAAAUCCACUAAGGAGUGUAUAACAACUCACCUACAGAAUCAACUAGCCCCGAAAAUGGAUGGCGCUGAAGCGUGCGACCUAUACUCGACCUUCGGAGCAAUUACAAGGCUUCGAUGAGUAGGAGGAUGCAGGGGUCAUUGAGAAAGAUUGGGCAUGAGCUUGGGUGAACCAGUCCCCAGUGCAGAUCUUGGUGGUAGUAGAAAAUAUUCAAAUAAGAACUUUGAAGACUGAAGUGGGGAAAGGUUGCAUG